rnacentral:rRNA from 1 species
UACGUAGGGUGCGAGCGUUAAUCGGAUUUACUGGGCGUAAAGCGAGCGCAGGUGGUUUAAUAAGUCUGAUGUAAAAGGCAGUGGCUCAACCAUUGUGUGCAUUGGAAACUGUUAGACUUGAGUGCAGUAGAGGAGAGUGGAAUUCCAUGUGUAGCGGUGAAAUGCGUAGAUAUAUGGAGGAACACCGGUGGCGAAAGCGGCUCUCUGGCCUGUAACUGACACUGAGGCUCGAAAGCGUGGGGAGCAAACAGG